ensembl:lncRNA
AGGGUUGGGUUGCUGAGCCAGGCUCUGCCCCAGGGGUUGGGUUUGCUUUGAAUGGGUUUCUGGGGAGGUUGGGGCUGGUGGGCUGGUGGGCUGGAAGGAUUUUGUUUUUCUUCAGGGCAAAGUCCCCACUUUUUCUUCUCUCUCUGGCACUGUCCUCCCUGAGCGCGGUCUCACUGCGUCUCUCCUGCUCGCCCCUCUCACUCUGGCAGCUGAGGGGGCCUGCCUCCGGCCUCUCUAAGGGGCCUGGCGCUUUGGAGGGCCUGAGCCGGCCUCCUCACAGGGAUAAGCCUCUUUUCUUCUGAAGCCCCCCUUCCUCCCCAACCCUUUAUUCUUCAGCAAAACGACCUUGAAAAGUGCCUGUACUCAGGCCAGCAGGCGGGGGUGACGCUUUAGGUUGCUUUAUAGAAAAUGAAGUGGAGAGAGGACCCCGUCCCUUUGAGCCUUCUAGGGCAGCAGGGGGCCGGGGAAGUAAAGUGGGGGGUGGCGGGUGUGGAGAGGGUACAGCAGGCUGCCCCAGACAGUGUGAGACAAGCGUUCGGGGAGGCCUGGGGAGGAUGCUCUGGCCAGGCUGUGUCUCUGUCCUUAGAGAAGCAGACAGGGCUCUGUGCUAAGUCGCUCAGUUGCGUCUGACUCUGAGACCCCGUGGACUGUACUCCGCAGGCCCCUCUGUCCAUGGGAUGCUCCAGAGUCUGAAAGGAUCUGCAUGAACGUGGCUUGGUCUUGGACGUGUGUUGGCGGGAGGACAGGGGUCCUAAAAUGACCCCAAGGCCCAAGACGCUCUGGACCCUUCUUCAUGAUGGACGUGCCAGAGGGAGAAGCAUGGAGGGACUGAGCCAGGAUGAUAACUGGCUGAGGGUGAGUCCUGGGGAGCCAGGGGUGACCCCAGCAUUGUAGGCUUCUCACUGGGGACCUUCUGGGUGCCGACUCACCACCAUUUUAACGUGAAAAACUCAGUAUGGGGCCACAAUAGCUGUAAGCCGCUGACAUUUUUAUUCCCAAAACCUAAUAGAAUUUUCUUGACCACUUAUAGCCCUUCACAUAGGGGCUUCCCCUGACAUCCUUUUUGGUGGCAGAUGGUAGCUGGCAUACAGUCCUGGAGGUCCUGGUCCAGCUUUUCUGACUCUAGACUUUAUAAAAGUGGUCCCUCUGCAUUUUGGACCUGAAUGACCCAAGUACACUCUUCAGGGCUCCCUGGGCGUAUCUCCUCCCGUGCUGGGAGGUCUACACCUAAGAAACCUCUUCUACUCACUGUGGUGUCCUUUUGUGGAACUUCCUUCCUUCUCUGGCAUCUGCC